AUUGAACGCUGGCGGCAUGCUUUACACAUGCAAGUCGAGCGGCAGCGCGGGGGCAACCCUGGCGGCGAGCGGCGAAUGGGUGAGUAAUGCAUCGGAACGUAUCCUCGAGUGGGGGAUAACCCAGCGAAAGUUGGGCUAAUACCGCAUGAGCUCUGAGGAGGAAAGCGGGGGACCUGCGAGGGCCUCGCGCUGGAGGAGCGGCCGAUGUCCGAUUAGCUAGUUGGUGGGGUAAAGGCUUACCAAGGCGACGAUCGGUAGCUGGUCUGAGAGGAUGAUCAGCCACACUGGGACUGAGACACGGCCCAGACUCCUACGGGAGGCAGCAGUGGGGAAUUUUGGACAAUGGGGGCAACCCUGAUCCAGCCAUGCCGCGUGAGUGAAGAAGGCCUUCGGGUUGUAAAGCUCUUUCGGACGGAACGAAAUGGGCGGGACUAAUACUCCGGUCUGAUGACGGUACCGUAAGAAGAAGCACCGGCUAACUACGUG
rnacentral:rRNA from 1 species